rnacentral:misc_RNA from 1 species
GAUGAAGAACGCAGCGAAAUGUGAUAAGUAAUGUGAAUUGCAGAAUUCAGUGAAUCAUCGAAUCUUUGAACGCACAUUGCGCCCCCUGGUAUUCCGGGGGGCAUGCCUGUCCGAGCGUCAUUACAACCCUCAAGCUCAGCUUGGUAUUGGGCCCCGCCGCUCCGGCGGGCCCUAAAGUCAGUGGCGGUGCCGUCCGGCUCCGAGCGUAGUAAUUCUUCUCGCUCUGGAGGUCCGGUCGUGUGCUCGCCAGCAACCCCCAAUUUUUUUCAGGUUGACCUCGGAUCAGGUAGGGAUACCCGCUGAACUUAAGCAUAUCAAUAAGCGGAGGA